GAUUAACGCUGGCGGCGUGCAUAACACAUGCAAGUCGAACGAUGAAACUUAAAAGAUUUCUUCGGAAUGACAUUAAGUGGAUUAGUGGCGGACGGGUGAGUAACGCGUGAGUAACCUGCCUUACACAAGGGGAUAGCCUCUGGAAACGGAGAAUAAUACCCUAUAACACCAUCAAAUCGCAUGAAGUGAUGGUCAAAGUGUUAGCGGUGUAAGAUGGACUUGCGUCUGAUUAGCUAGUUGGUGAGAAAAAAGCCCACCAAGGCAACGAUCAGUAGCCGGCUUGAGAGAGUGUACGGCCACAUUGGGACUGAGACACGGCCCAGACUCCUACGGGAGGCAGCAGUAGGGAAUCUUCCGCAAUGGACGAAAGUCUGACGGAGCAACGCCGCGUGAGUGAUGAAGGUUUUCGGAUCGUAAAACUCUGUUGUUAGGGAAGAACAAGUACCGUUCGAAUAGGACGGUCCCAUGACGGUA
rnacentral:rRNA from 1 species